AAGCCAAGAAGGGAAUAAGUGGGUUCAAUGAGCAAAUCAGUUGUAGGGCAGCCCCACGUUGGGCAUGGCAGUGGAGUUGUUCAAUUUUCAAUGAUAACUCCAGACUUUGCCCAGUGGGGGCUGCCCUCUGACUGCUUUAGCUUAGUUUUGCAUGAGUUUAAUCCCCAUGUGCCCUUAAUAAGGGACGCCCAACAGUAUGGACUGUCUUCAACCAAGAGGGGACGCUUGUAGACGAUCGGUCGAGUAUCGACUGAGACGCAGAUGGCUGGGCAUGCGGCAGGUUGCUGAAGGCUUGUUUUUUAGGUUCUCCAUGGGUUGUCUCCGACUACUUUUUAUCUGGUGCCGUGAAUGAGCUUAGGCCACACCUACAUGACCUUCUCUUCUUUCUAGGUUGUUAGGUUGGUGACCCUAGCAACCCGAACAAAGUUCACAUUUCAACUCUCUAUUUUUUUAUUCAAUUUUGACAGUCUCUUUUUAUUAUAUAAAAUGUACAUACUUAUCCA